CGCAUAGCUUCUCUCAAGAAGAAAGCGAGUUUCUCGCGCCGGGGGAGCGGCCCGCGGCCCAUCAGGUUGUUGGCGGGGUAACGGCCCACCAAGCCGGUGACGGGUAGCUGGUCUGUGAGGACAGACAGCCAGACUGGGACUGAGAAACGGCCCAGACUCCUACGGGAGGCAGCAGCAAGGAAUUUUCGGCAAUGGGGGCAACCCUGACCGAGCAACGCCGCGUGCCGGAUGACGGCCUUCGGGUUGUAAACGGCUUUUCGAGGGGAAGAGAUGGACGGUACCCUCGGAAUAAGGCUCGGCUAACUCUGUGCCAGCAGCCGCGGUAAGACAGAGGAGCCAAGCGUUGUCCGGACUGACUGGGCGUAAAGCGCACGCAGGCGGCACGGCACGUGGGGUGUGAAAGCGGAGGGCUUAACUCUCCGAGGCCAUCCCAUACGGCCGGGCUGGAGCCAUGUAGAGGCCCGUGGAAUUGCCGGUGUAGUGGUGAAAUGCGUAGAGAUCGGCAGGAACACCCAGGGGGAAACCAGCGGGCUGGGCAUGAGCUGACGCUCAGGUGCGACAGCGUGGGGAGCGAACCGGAUUAGAUACCCGGGUAGUCCACGCUCUAAACGAUGGCCACUCGGCAUCUGGCACCGGUAUCACGGUGGUGGGUGCCCAAGCUAACGCGGAAGUGGCCCGCCUGGGAACUACGAGCGCAAGCUUAAAACUCAAAGGAAUUGACGGGGGCCCGCACAAGCAGCGGAGCGUGUGGUUUAAUUCGACGCAACGCGCAGAACCUUACCCAGAUUGGACAUGCCACUGCACGCGCCUGAAAGGGCGAAGCCUUCGAGGGUGUGGCACAGAUGCUGCAUGGCUGUCGUCAGCUCGUGUCGUGAGAUGUUGGGUUAAGUCCCGCAACGAGCGCAACCCUUAUCAACAGUUGCCAUCAUUAAGUUGGGAACUCUGUUGAGACUGCCGUUGAUAAAACGGAGGAAGGUGGGGAUGAUGUCAAGUCAUCAUGGCCUUUAUGUUCAGGGCUACACACGUGCUACAAUGGACGGUACAAAACGUCGCAAUCUCGUAAGAGGGAGCUAAUCGCGAAAACCGUUCUCAGUUCGGAUUGAAGUCUGCAACUCGACUUCAUGAAGUUGGAAUCGCUAGUAAUCGCAAAUCAGCAUGUUGCGGUGAUACGUUCCCGGUCUUUACUCACUGCCCGUCAGG
rnacentral:rRNA from 1 species